rnacentral:rRNA from 1 species
AUUGAACGCUGGCGGCAGGCUUAACACAUGCAAGUCGAGCGGGGUGAUGGUGCUUGCACUAUCACUUAGCGGCGGACGGGUGAGUAAUGCUUAGGAAUCUGCCUAUUAGUGGGGGACAACAUCUCGAAAGGGAUGCUAAUACCGCAUACGUCCUACGGGAGAAAGCAGGGGAUCACUUGUGACCUUGCGCUAAUAGAUGAGCCUAAGUCGGAUUAGCUAGUUGGUGGGGUAAAGGCCUACCAAGGCGACGGUCUGUAGCGGGUCUGAGAGGAUGAUCCGCCACACUGGGACUGAGACACGGCCCAGACUCCUACGGGAGGCAGCAGUGGGGAAUAUUGGACAAUGGGGGGAACCCUGAUCCAGCCAUGCCGCGUGUGUGAAGAAGGCCUUAUGGUUGUAAAGCACUUUAAGCGAGGAGGAGGCUCUUUUGGUUAAUACCCAAGAUGAGUGGACGUUACUCGCAGAAUAAGCACCGGCUAACUCUGAGCCAGCAGCCGCAGUAA